rnacentral:rRNA from 1 species
AGUGAACGCUGGCGGUAGGCCUAACACAUGCAAGUCGAACGGCAGCACAGUAAGAGCUUGCUCUUACGGGUGGCGAGUGGCGGACGGGUGAGGAAUGCAUCGGAAUCUACUUUUUCGUGGGGGAUAACGUAGGGAAACUUACGCUAAUACCGCAUACGACAUACGGGUGAAAGCAGGGGAUCUUCGGACCUUGCGCGAUUGAAUGAGCCGAUGUCGGAUUAGCUAGUUGGCGGGGUAAAGGCGCACCAAGGCGACGAUCCGUAGCUGGUCUGAGAGGAUGAUCAGCCACACUAGAACUGAGACACGGUCCAGACUCCUACGGGAGGCAGCAGUGGGGAAUAUUGGACAAUGGGCGCAAGCCUGAUCCAGCCAUACCGCGUGGGUGAAGAAGGCCUUCGGGUUGUAAAGCCCUUUUGUUGGGAAAGAAAAGCAGCAGGUUAAUACCCCGCUGUUCUGACGGUACCCAAAGAAUAAGCACCGGCUAACUUCGUG